CAGCAGUCGCCGCGGGAAUACGAAGGGGGCUAGCGUUGUUCGGAUUUACUGGGCGUAAAGGGCGCGUAGGCGGACUGAUAAGUCAGGGGUGAAAUCCCAAGGCUCAACCUUGGAACUGCCUUUGAUACUGUUUGUCUUGAGUUCGAGAGAGGUAAGUGGAACUGCGAGUGUAGAGGUGAAAUUCGUAGAUAUUCGCAAGAACACCAGUGGCGGAGGCGGCUUACUGGCUCGAAACUGACGCUGAGGCGCGAAAGCGUGGGGAGCAAACAGGAUUAGAUACCCCUGUAGUCCCUGUCUCUUAUAC
rnacentral:rRNA from 1 species